rnacentral:rRNA from 1 species
AUUGAACGCUAGCGGGAUGCUUUACACAUGCAAGUUGAACGGCAGCGCGGACUUCGGUCUGGCGGCGAGUGGCGAACGGGUGAGUAAUGUAUCGGAACGUGCCCAGUAGCGGGGGAUAACUACGCGAAAGCGUAGCUAAUACCGCAUACGCCCUACGGGGGAAAGCAGGGGAUCGUAAGACCUUGCACUAUUGGAGCGGCCGAUAUCGGAUUAGCUAGUUGGUGAGGUAACGGCUCACCAAGGCGACGAUCCGUAGCUGGUUUGAGAGGACGACCAGCCACACUGGGACUGAGACACGGCCCAGACUCCUACGGGAGGCAGCAGUGGGGAAUUUUGGACAAUGGGGGCAACCCUGAUCCAGCCAUCCCGCGUGUGCGAUGAAGGCCUUCGGGUUGUAAAGCACUUUUGGCAGGAAAGAAACGUCGCGGGCUAAUACCCCGUGGAACUGACGGUACCUGCAGAAUAAGCACCGGCUAACUACGUG